rnacentral:rRNA from 1 species
ACCGGAGAGGGAGCCUUAGAAACGGCUACCACAUCUAAGGAAGGCAGCAGGCGCGCAAAUUACCCACUCUCAGAACGAGGAGGUAGUGAAUUUAAAUAGCGAUGAUGAACUCUUAUGAGGCUCGUCAAUCGAAAUGAGUACAAUUUAAAUCCUUUAACGAGUACCAAUUGGAGGGCAAGUCUGGUGCCAGCAGCCGCGGUAAUUCCAGCUCCAAUAGCGAAUAUUAAAUUUGUUGCAGUUAAAAAGCUCGUAGUUGGAUCCAAGGUUAGGCAUGCCUGUCUGUUCUUAGUAGCAUGACUGUGUGUGUCUGCCUUUAUUAGUUGAAUGUUCAUUAUGGUGGUCUUCAUCGACUGCUAUGAUGUGCUCAACACGUUUACCUUGAAAAAAUCAGAGCGAUCAAGGCAGGCCUUCGUGCUUGUAUGUUGUUGCAAGGAAUAAUAGAAUAGGACUUCGGUUCUAUUUUGUUGGUUUUGAGAAUUGAAGUAAUGAACAAUAGAGACAGUCGGGGGCAUUUGUAUGGUGGCGUUAGAGGUGAAAUUCUGAGAUCGUCGCCAGACAAACUACUGCGAAAGCAUUUGCCAAGGAUGUCUUCAUUAAUCAAGAACGAAAGUCAGAGGUUCGAAGACGAUCAGAUACCGUCCUAGUUCUGACCAUAAACGAUGCCGACCUACAAUCGGGGGUGGUUUAUUAUAUUGACCCUCCCGGCUGUCCUCAGGAAACUUUAAGUUGGUUCUGGGGGGAAUAUGGUCUCAAGACUGAAACUUAAAGGAAUUGACGGAAGGGCACCACCAGGAGUGGAGCCUGCGGCUUAAUUUGACCCAACACGGGGAAUCUCACCCGGUCCGGACACUGGUAGGAUGGACAGAUUGAUAGCUCUUUCCUGAUUCAGUGGGUGGUGGUGCAUGGCCGUUCUUAGUUGGUGGAGUGAUUUGUCUGGUUAAUUCCGAUAACGAACGAGACUCUGUCCUGCUAAAUAGUCCAGUGGCAUCAAUCACUAUGUGAUUACAGCUGCUGUUACUUCUUAGAGGGAUUCGCGGAUUUAAACCGCAAGAAAUAGAGCAAUAACAGGUCUGUGAUGCCCUUAGAUGUCCGGGGCCGCACGCGCGCUACAUUGACAGUAGAAGCGAGUAUUUCUACCUGGUUCGAAAGAAUUGGGAAAUCUUCGAAUUACUGUCUCCACAGGGAUUGAGGUUUCAAUUUUGCCUCAUGAACGAGGAAUUCCCAGUAGGCGCAAGUCAUCAGCUUGCGUCGAUUACGUCCCUGCCCUUUGUACACACCGCCCGUCGCUACUACCGAUUGAGUGCAUUAGUGAGGACCUCGGAUUGAGAACAUAGUGGCGCAAGUUACUUUGUUUUCGAAAAGUGGUUCAAAUUUGUGCAUUUAGAGAUAGUAAAAGUCGUAACAAGGUU